UACGUAGGGGGCGAGUGUUGUCCGGAGUUACUGGGCGUAAAGCGCUUGUAGGCGGUCCACCAAGUUUGGGGUGACAGUUGCCGACUUAAUCGGCAAAGUGCCUCAAAGACUGGCGGACUUGAGGGCCACAGAGGGACAUGGAACUCCAGGUGUAGUGGUGAAAUGCGUAGAUAUCUGGAAGAACACCGAAGGCGAAGGCAGUGUCCUGGGUGGUCGCUGACGCUGAGAGGCGAAAGCCAGGGGAGCGAACGGG
rnacentral:rRNA from 1 species